CAUGCAAGUCGAGCGAAUGGAUUAAGAGCUUGCUCUUAUGAAGUUAGCGGCGGACGGGUGAGUAACACGUGGGUAACCUGCCCAUAAGACUGGGAUAACUCCGGGAAACCGGGGCUAAUACCGGAUAACAUUUUGAACCGCAUGGUUCGAAAUUGAAAGGCGGCUUCGGCUGUCACUUAUGGAUGGACCCGCGUCGCAUUAGCUAGUUGGUGAGGUAACGGCUCACCAAGGCAACGAUGCGUAGCCGACCUGAGAGGGUGAUCGGCCACACUGGGACUGAGACACGGCCCAGACUCCUACGGGAGGCAGCAGUAGGGAAUCUUCCGCAAUGGACGAAAGUCUGACGGAGCAACGCCGCGUGAGUGAUGAAGGCUUUCGGGUCGUAAAACUCUGUUGUUAGGGAAGAACAAGUGCUAGUUGAAUAAGCUGGCACCUUGACGGUACCUAACCAGAAAGCCACGGCUAACUACGUGCCAGCAGCCGCGGUAAUACGUAGGUGGCAAGCGUUAUCCGGAAUUAUUGGGCGUAAAGCGCGCGCAGGUGGUUUCUUAAGUCUGAUGUGAAAGCCCACGGCUCAACCGUGGAGGGUCAUUGGAAACUGGGAGACUUGAGUGCAGAAGAGGAAAGUGGAAUUCCAUGUGUAGCGGUGAAAUGCGUAGAGAUAUGGAGGAACACCAGUGGCGAAGGCGACUUUCUGGUCUGUAACUGACACUGAGGCGCGAAAGCGUGGGGAGCAAACAGGAUUAGAUAC
rnacentral:rRNA from 1 species